UCAAAUCAUGUGCUCUUUAAUUAGUAUGCUAUUUCUGGGCAGCUCAUCCAGAUCCCAUGCAUACAAGUUUUACAAAAAUAUGCCUGGUUAUGUCAACAAGCCUUGAUAAUCAUCCAUAAACCAAAUCAAAUAAGAUAUGAAUACCCAUUAUUGUUGUAUUGCAGUAGAGAACUAUAUAAAUUAAUAGUAAGACUUGAUAUAUGAAAAAUUGAAGAGAAUUAAACGGA